GAUGAAGAACGUAGUGAAAUGCGAUACUUGGUGUGAAUUGCAGAAUCCCGUGAACCAUCGAGUCUUUGAACGCAAGUUGCGCCCGAAGCCAUUAGGCCGAGGGCACGCCUGCCUGGGUGUCACACAUCGUUACCCUCGCGCCAACGUCCAGUGUUGGGCACGGCGCAGGGCGUAUGCUGACCUCCCGCGAGCGGGGUCUCGUGGUUGGUUGAAAAUCGAGUUCGCGGUCGAGUGGGCCGUGAUGAAAUGGUGGAUGGGCGACGCCCGAGGCCAAUCCAAUCACGCGCGACUCUGUCCGGCUUGGACUCCUGGACCCCUUGGGCGUCUCCGGACGCUCCCCAGCGAGACCUCAGGUCAGGCGGGGCUACCCGCUGAGUUUAAGCAUAUCAAUAAGCGGAGGA
rnacentral:misc_RNA from 1 species